rnacentral:rRNA from 1 species
CCUACGGGAGGCAGCAGUGGGGAAUAUUGGGCAAUGGGCGAAAGCCUGACCCAGCGACGCCGCGUGGGGGAUGAAGGCCUUCGGGUCGUAAACCCCUGUCAGGAGGGACGAAGCCCUGAUCAUAUAUCAGGGUGACGGUACCUCCAGAGGAAGCCCCGGCUAACUACGUGCCAGCAGCCGCGGUAAAACGUAGGGGGCAAGCGUUGUCCGGAUUCACUGGGCGUAAAGGGUCCGUAGGCGGCCUGCUAAGUCGGAGGUGAAAGACCCUGGCUUAACUGGGGAAUUGCGUCCGAAACUGGUGGGCUAGAGCCCAGGAGAGGAAAGUGGAAUUCCCGGUGUAGCGGUGAAAUGCGCAGAUAUCGGGAGGAACACCAGUGGGGAAGCCGGCUUUCUGGCCUGUGGCUGACGUUGAGGGACGAAAGCCAGGGGAGCGAACCGGAUUAGAUCCCCCUGUAGU